CUCGAGUGGCGAACGGGUGAGUAACACGUGGGUGAUCUGCCCUGCACUUCGGGAUAAGCCUGGGAAACUGGGUCUAAUACCGGAUAGGAGCCAUUUUUAGUGUGAUGGUUGGAAAGUUUUUUCGGUGUAGGAUGAGCUCGCGGCCUAUCAGCUUGUUGGUGGGGUAAUGGCCUACCAAGGCGGCGACGGGUAGCCGGCCUGAGAGGGUGGACGGCCACAUUGGGACUGAGAUACGGCCCAGACUCCUACGGGAGGCAGCAGUGGGGAAUAUUGCACAAUGGGCGCAAGCCUGAUGCAGCGACGCCGCGUGGGGGAUGACGGCCUUCGGGUUGUAAACUCCUUUCGCUAGGGACGAAGCUUUUUGUGACGGUACCUAGAUAAGAAGCACCGGCUAACUACGUGCCAGCAGCCGCGGUAAUACGUAGGGUGCGAGCGUUGUCCGGAAUUACUGGGCGUAAAGGGCUCGUAGGUGGUUUGUCGCGUCGUCUGUGAAAUUCCGGGGCUUAACUCCGGGCGUGCAGGCGAUACGGGCAUAACUUGAGUACUGUAGGGGUAACUGGAAUUCCUGGUGUAGCGGUGAAAUGCGCAGAUAUCAGGAGGAACACCGAUGGCGAAGGCAGGUUACUGGGCAGUUACUGACGCUGAGGAGCGAAAGCAU
rnacentral:rRNA from 1 species